CGGGUGAGUAACGCGUGGAAAACCUGCCGUAUACUGGGGGAUAACACUUAGAAAUAGGUGCUGAUACCGCAUAAGCGCACAGCUUCGCAUGAAGCGGUGUGAACAACUCUGGUGGUAUACGAUGGUUCCGCGUCUGAUUAGCUAGUUGGUGGGGUAAUGGCCUACCAAGGCAACGAUCAGUAGCCGGCCUGAGAGGGUGAACGGCCACAUUGGGACUGAGACACGGCCCAAACUCCUACGGGAGGCAGCAG
rnacentral:rRNA from 1 species